rnacentral:rRNA from 1 species
AUUGAACGCUGGCGGCAGGCCUAACACAUGCAAGUCGAGCGGAGCGGCCGUCGGGUGAGUAAGGCCUAGGAAUCUGCCUGGUAGUGGGGGGGAACUACCUGAUGCGAGGGCUAAUACCGCCUACCUUCAUAUAGUGCUACCACGGAUUAGCUAGUUGGUGGGGUAAAGGCCGACCAAGGCGACGAUCCGUAACUGGUCUGAGAGGAUGAUCAGGCAAACUGGAACGGUGACACGGUCCAGACUCCUACGGGAGGCAGCAGUGGGAAAUAUUGGACAAUGGGCGAAAGCCUGUUCCAGCCAUGCCGCGUGUGUGAAGAAGGUCUUCGGAUUGUAAAGCACUUUAAGUUGGGAGGCGUUACCAACAGAAUAAGCACCGGCUAACUUCGUGCCAGCAGCCGCGGUAAUUC